rnacentral:rRNA from 1 species
UACAGAGGUGGCAAGCGUUGUUCGGAAUUACUGGGCGUAAAGGGCGCGUAGGCGGCCUUCUAAGUCAGACGUGAAAUCCCAAGGCUCAACCUUGGAACUGCCUUUGAUACUGGGGAUCUUGAGUCCGGGAGAGGUGAGUGGAACUGCGAGUGUAGAGGUGAAAUUCGUAGAUAUCGCAAGAACACCAGUGGCGAAGGCGGCUCACUGGCCCGGUACUGACGCUGAGGUGCGAAAGCGUGGGGAGCAAACAGG